UAGGGAAUCUUCCGCAAUCGACGAAAGUCUGACGGAGCAACGCCGCGUGAGUGAAGAAGGAUUUCGGUUCGUAAAACUCUGUUGUUAGGGAAGAAAAAAUGUAUAGUAACUAUAUACAAAAGAGACGGUACCUAACCAGAAAGCCACGGCUAACUACGUGCCAGCAGCCGCGGUAAUACGUAGGUGGCAAGCGUUGUCCGGAAUUAUUGGGCGUAAAGCGCGCGCAGGUGGUUUAGAAAGUCUGAUGUGAAAGCCCACGGCUCAACCGUGGAGGGUCAUUGGAAACUAAUAAACUUGAGUGCAGGAGAGAAAAGUGGAAUUCCUAGUGUAGCGGUGAAAUGCGUAGAGAUUAGGAGGAACACCGGUGGCGAAAGCGGCUUUUUGGCCUGCAACUGACACUGAGGCGCGAAAGCGUGGGGAGCAAACAGG
rnacentral:rRNA from 1 species